CCAUGGGGAGACCAGCCCUUAGAUGGGGGCGGAGACACAGUCAGUGUGAAGGAUGUAGGAAGCGAAGAGGAGCCGGACACCGAACCCAAUUCUGAACCCCAGAGUGAGUCUGAUGCGACUGACAGUGAACCACUGACUGUGAUCCAGCAGCCAGAAGUUACACCCCCUCAGCCUGUGGCAAACCAAGCAAUGAAAGCCAAACUGGCUCGCCUGUCCCUCUCCCUCCCUCCUCUCCCUCUUGCUCUCCCUCUCUCCUCCAGUCCCAAGGGAGGGUUCAGGGAGGGCGGGCUACAUCGAGACAGGAGUGGGAGACGGAGGGGUGCGUCCCCAGGAAGUGACCCCGAUGAGGAUGAGGAAGAAGAGCAGGAAGACGAAGGCUCCAGGAGGGUGAUUGUUGUCACGGAAACAGACGUUGGCAAAAGGGUGGGGCUCAGGAGUCUGCUGAAGUCGCCAAGGGAACCGAUAGACAAAGAGAAAGACAGAGGGAGAAACGUGUCCUUUUUGAUGAUGUCACUGUCUAUCUCUUUGAUCAGGUGUUUGUUUAGUUCCCCCCUACCCCCUCAUAUAUUGAGUCCCAUGUUACUCUUGGGCUUUUAA
ensembl:lncRNA